rnacentral:rRNA from 1 species
UACGUAGGGUGCGAGCGUUGUCCGGAAUUAUUGGGCGUAAAGGGCUCGUAGGCGGUUUGUCACGUCGGGAGUGAAAACUCGGGGCUUAACCCCGAGCCUGCUUCCGAUACGGGCAGACUAGAGGUAUGCAGGGGAGAACGGAAUUCCUGGUGUAGCGGUGAAAUGCGCAGAUAUCAGGAGGAACACCGGUGGCGAAGGCGGUUCUCUGGGCAUUACCUGACGCUGAGGAGCGAAAGCGUGGGGAGCAAUCCGG